UACGGGGGGGGCAAGCGUUGUUCGGAAUUAUUGGGCGUAAAGGGCGCGUAGGCGGCCGAAUAAGUCUGACGUGAAAUCCCCCGGCUCAACCGGGGAACUGCGUUUGAAACUGUUCGGCUCGAGUCCGGGAGAGGGUAGUGGAAUUCCCAGUGUAGCGGUGAAAUGCGUAGAUAUUGGGAGGAACACCGGUGGCGAAGGCGGCUACCUGGACCGGUACUGACGCUGAGGCGCGAAAGCUAGGGUAGCAAACAGG
rnacentral:rRNA from 1 species